AAUCCGACAAAUGUCAAUUGAGACACCAACGUACGGGAGGAAAAAAAUAAAGAGCUGAGGCACCAAUGAUGGCGUAGAAUUACAGUUUAUAAGAUUUGACCAAUAGACUUCCCUUCAUAGUUGUCUUUGCUUGACUUUCACUCCUUAUACCCCUUUCCAGAAUGAGCUCACCACUGUAUAUUAUUAAGAAUUCCAAAACCCUCUGAAGAAUAAAAUAAAGAUCACAUCUUUACUCUUCCACCAAAAAGAACAUAUUCUUGAUACACCAUUAAUGGCCGCAGUUAUUCCAGUUCAAAGGUUACCAAGAAAUGAAGGUUCACCCACCACCACCACCACUGCUUCAGUUGUUCCUCAAAAGAAAUUGUGCAAUUGGUUGCCUCUCUUGGUUGCCCUUGUGGUUUUAGUGGAAAUUGCUUUUCUGGGUCGACUAGACAUGGCGGAAAAAGCCAAUCUUGUCAACUCGUGGGCUGAUUCAUUCUACAAGUUUACGACAUCAACCCCCAAAGCGACUAGUAUUAACAGUAAUGGUGGGUUGGUUGACUUGAGUGGUGAGGUUGAUCAAGAUUUGGUACUUGAGAGUUGUGAGGAAUGGCUGCAAAGGGAGGAUUCUAUCGAAUAUUCUAGAGAUUUUGACAAAGAUCCAAUUUUUGUUCAUGGAGGCGAAAAGGAUUGGAAGUCCUGUGCCGUGGGAUGCAAGUUCGGAGUGCAUUCUGAUAAGAAGCCUGAUGCAGCAUUUGGAACAACACAACAGGCUGGCACAGCUGGCGUGCUUCGGUCAAUGGAGUCGGCCCAAUACUAUCCUGAGAAUGAUGUUGUUAUGGCACGACGAAGGGGAUAUGAUAUUAUCAUGACAACAAGUCUCUCUUCGGAUGUUCCUGUUGGGUACUUCUCUUGGGCCGAGUAUGAUAUAAUGGCUCCUGUGCAACCUAAAACAGAGAAUGCGUUAGCAGCUGCUUUUAUUUCUAAUUGUGGUGCUCGCAACUUUCGGUUGCAAGCUCUUGAAGUGCUUGAAAGAGAAAAGAUCAAGAUUGAUUCUUUUGGCAGUUGUCAUCAUAACCGGGAUGGAAAUGUGGACAAAGUGGAGACUCUCAAGCGCUUUAAAUUUAGCCUCGCUUUUGAGAAUUCUAACGAGGAGGAUUAUGUCACUGAAAAAUUCUUCCAGUCUCUGGUUGCUGGAUCAAUCCCCGUGGUGAUUGGUGCUCCAAACAUCCAAGAAUUUGCUCCUUCUCCUAAUUCACUUUUACACAUUAAAGAGCUGAAAGAUGCUGAAACCGUUGCCAAUACUAUGAAGUACCUUGGAGAAAAUCCUAGUUCAUAUAAUGAGUUGUUAAGGUGGAAGGUUGAGGGCCCAUCUGAUUCUUUCAAUGCCCUGGUUGACAUGGCAGCAGUUCACUCUUCCUGUCGUUUGUGUAUCUUCUUAGCAACAAGUAUUAGGGAGAGAGAAGAGCAGAAUCCAAAAUUUAGGAAACGUCCCUGCAAAUGUACCAGAGGUUCAGAAACUGUACAUCAUGUAUAUGUACGUGAAAGAGGGAGGUUUGAGAUGGAGUCCAUUUUCCUAAGGGAACCUCCAAAAAGUUGCUAACAAGAAAAGGAGAGAAAAGGCUAAUUACAGUGAACCUAACAAAUCUACUAACUGUUCUACUUCCUCUAUACUUUCCUUUUUACACCAAAAAUAAAAAAAGAAUACAUUUCUCUUUCACUCUCUGAAUGGAAUUUGUUUUGUUAUGAUAAUAUCUUCCAUUUUUCUCCUUCCAUAUUUUCCACCAAAUACAUGUUGGGAUCAUUCUCCACCAUUUCUUCUGGCUCUUACUUCCUCCUCUUCUAAUCCAACAGCUUAGUAGGUCAGCAGUGUGUUCUAGCAUAGUCCAGUUUUUGUCUGAGUUUCAAGAACAUAGACCAAAGCUGGGAAGUGAAUUUGCAAUGCAAGAAUAGGUGAUUGUUGGUCUCAUUUGUCUCAUUGCUGAGAAAACAUCUGGAUACUAUUUGUUGGCCCUUCUUCUUCAACACUUCUUGCGUAAGACAUCCUCUCUUGACCACCAACCAUGCAAAACACUUCACCUUGGUUGGUGCUUGACUUGUCCAAAUCUGCCUCCACCUUGCCAAUCUGAUCCUUUAAAGAGAUCCCACUUCCUUCCUGUAAAGUAUGUUCACAGAAAACCUUCCAUCCUCGGUGUGUUUCCAGUUGAUUAUAUCAUUUGUUGUGGACAGUCCUUUGAAAUCAUGGAGCACUUGUAGAAGUUCUGCCACUCUUACUAACUCCCAAUCAUUCAGAUUCCUCCUAAAGGAGAUGUCAUCAACUGGAGUAAUGUCGGGUUUGUUGCAAAGAGAAAAUAAAUCAGGAAAUGCCUGCAUCAGAGCCUCUUGUCUUAUCCAGAUAUCCUUCCAAAAAUAAAUCCUAGUCCCAUUGCCUACUUUGAGCUUUAUGUUCCCUUCCAGUUUGUCCCAGAGGGACCUUAUUGAUCUCCAGAGUGAAACUCCAUAAGGGUUUGGUCUUCCUCAACAUAUCUCCUUAACCAUUUCAUCAAGAGGCAAUCAUUCUGAACUUUCAGGUUUCUAACUCCCAGACCCCCUAAGUGGUUGUUUGGUGUGAAUGAUAACACCAAAUAAUCCCGAGAUUAAAUUAUAGUGGCACUUAAGUUGGUGUUUGGUUGGCAAGUCCGGAAUAACUUAUCUCGGGAUUAAUAAAUAGUACCAGGAUAAGUUAUCCCUGCUCUUGGGUGGUAUACUAAUCCCGGGAUAAAAUAGGUAAAUGACAAAUGUUUUUUG